UACAGAGGUCUCAAGCGUUGUUCGGAUUCAUUGGGCGUAAAGGGUGCGUAGGUGGCGCUGUAAGUCAGGUGUGAAAUCUCGGGGCUUAACUCCGAAACUGCAUUCGAUACUGCGGUGCUUGAGGACUGGAGAGGAGACUGGAAUUUACGGUGUAGCAGUGAAAUGCGUAGAGAUCGUAAGGAAGACCAGUGGCGAAGGCGGGUCUCUGGACAGUUCCUGACACUGAGGCACGAAGGCCAGGGGAGCAAACGGG
rnacentral:rRNA from 1 species